rnacentral:rRNA from 1 species
GUGGGGAAUAUUGGGCAAUGGGCGCAAGCCUGACCCAGCAAUGCCGCGUGGGUGAAGAAGGUCUUCGGAUUGUAAAGCCCUUUCGGCGGGGACGAUGAUGACGGUACCCGCAGAAGAAGCCCCGGCCAACUUCGUGCCAGCAGCCGCGGUAAUACGAAGGGGGCUAGCGUUGCUCGGAAUCACUGGGCGUAAAGGGCGCGUAGGCGGCCCUGUUGGUCGGGCGUGAAAUCCCUGGGCUCAACCCGGGGGCUGCGCCCGAAACGGCGGGGCUAGAGGAUGGAAGAGGCUCGCGGAAUUCCCAGUGUAGAGGUGAAAUUCGUAGAUAUUGGGAAGAACACCGGUGGCGAAGGCGGCGAGCUGGUCCAUUACUGACGCUGAGGCGCGACAGCGUGGGGAGCAAACAGG